GAGGAAUAUUGGUCAAUGGACGAGAGUCUGAACCAGCCAAGUAGCGUGAAGGAUGAAGGUUCUAUGGAUUGUAAACUUCUUUUAUACGGGAAUAAACGAAUCCACGCGUGGAUUUUUGCAUGUACCGUAUGAAUAAGGAUCGGCUAACUCCGUGCCAGCAGCCGCGGUAAUACGGAGGAUCCGAGCGUUAUCCGGAUUUAUUGGGUUUAAAGGGAGCGUAGAUGGGUUGUUAAGUCAGUUGUGAAAGUUUGCGGCUCAACCGUAAAAUUGCAAUUGAUACUGGCAGUCUUGAGUACAGUUGAGGUAGGCGGAAUUCGUGGUGUAGCGGUGAAAUGCUUAGAUAUCACGAAGAACUCCGAUUGCGAAGGCAGCUUACUAACCUGUAACUGACAUUGAUGCUCGAAAGUGUGGGUAUCAAACAGGAUUAGAUACCCUGGUAGUCCACACGGUAAACGAUGAAUACUCGCUGUAGGCGAUAUACAGUCUGCGGCCAAGCGAAAGCAUUAAGUAUUCCACCUGGGGAGUACGCCGGCAACGGUGAAACUCAAAGGAAUUGACGGGGGCCCGCACAAGCGGAGGAACAUGUGGUUUAAUUCGAUGAUACGCGAGGAACCUUACCCGGGCUUAAAUUGCAACCGAAUAUGGCGGAAACGCUAUAGCUAGCAAUAGCGGUUGUGAAGGUGCUGCAUGGUUGUCGUCAGCUCGUGCCGUGAGGUGUCGGCUUAAGUGCCAUAACGAGCGCAACCCUUGCCGAUAGUUACUAACAGGUUAUGCUGAGGACUCUGUCGGGACUGCCAUCGUAAGAUGUGAGGAAGGUGGGGAUGACGUCAAAUCAGCACGGCCCUUACGUCCGGGGCUACACACGUGUUACAAUGGGGGGUACAGAGGGCUGCUACCACGCAAGUGGAUGCCAAUCCCAAAAACCUCUCUCAGUUCGGAUUGAAGUCUGCAACCCGACUUCAUGAAGCUGGAUUCGCUAGUAAUCGCGCAUCAGCCACGGCGCGAUGAAUACGUUCCCG
rnacentral:rRNA from 1 species